rnacentral:rRNA from 1 species
UACGUAGGGUGCGAGCGUUGUCCGGAAUUAUUGGGCGUAAAGAGCUCGUAGGCGGCCUGUCGCGUCGGAUGUGAAAGCCCGGGGCUUAACCCCCGGGUCUGCAUUCGAUACGGGCGGACUUGAGUUCGGCAGGGGAGACUGGAAUUCCUGGUGUAGCGGUGAAAUGCGCAGAUAUCAGGAGGAACACCGGUGGCGAAGGCGGGUCUCUGGGCCGAUACUGACGCUGAGGAGCGAAAGCGUGGGGAGCGAACAGG